CAAUUGGUAAAAACCCUGCUCCAAAUUUCGAAAAGCAAGGAACUUCUUUGCCUGAUACAUUAGCAUUGCCUACUAAUGACCAAAGAGCAAUGGGAGGGGAUGUACCGAGCUCUGUAUCGCAUACUGAAGUUAAUGCUGUAGCUGAUGAUGAUAUAUGUAAUAGAGUGGACAUUAGCAACCAACCUAGUAGCAGUAAAUCCAGAAUCUCUGGAGGUUUGGCUAUACUGGAUGUGGUUGAUGGGACAAGGAGGAGUAAAUCAAGUACACCAUCUUGUUCGCAAGAUAAUAAUGGGACAAGAAGAAGUAACUCAGGUACACCGACUUGUUCGCAAAACAAUAGUCCGGAUAGGAUCAUCCGCCAAAAGGGUCCACGUAUAGCAAAAGUUGUGAGGAGAGUCAAAUGCAAAGUAGAGCCUUUAAGCUAUGGAUGUGUGCUCUCUGGAAAAUCAUGGUGCAACCGCCAAGCUAUUUUUCCCAAAGGUUGCAAACUCGAAUAACAAAAGCAGAUGUAUAUUUUGCAAGUGCUUAAUGUCUAAUUCUUGUUUGGUGCAGGGUUUCGAAGCCGGGUUAGGUACAUAAAUAUAUUGGAUCCGACGAACAUGAGCUUUUACGUUUCAGAAAUUCUUGAUGCUGGACGCAAUAGUCCCUUGUUCAUGGUAAAAUUGAUAUAUUUUUUUGAUUCUAUUUAAAUUUGAACUGAGAAUGAUAUCAACCUGUGGUAUGAUCUUCUUGUCAGGUUUACUUGGAGGGUAAUCCGAGUGAGGUGUUUGCUCACUUGUCGCCUACAAGAUGCUGGGAGAUGGUAAGAGAAAGAGUAAACCAAGAGAUAAGUAAGCAACACAAAGCCGGUAAAUUAGAUCUUCCUCCUCUGCAGCCUUCUGGGAGUCCUGACGGUUUUGAAAUGUUUGGAUACACGUCACCCGCAAUCAUACAGGUAAAAAUCUUUACAAGUUUUUGACUUAACCUUAGACUUACAUGCUUGUUGUAAACUGCACUGGAACUUAUAUAUAUGUGGUUUUCUAAUUAUAUAAUACUAAAAUCAGUUUUAAAAAUUUUGAUUUAAAAAUGUUUGUAAAUCUAGUUGACAGAUAUAUAUACCUUAAUGUGGUAAACAAACAGGCUAUUGAAGCAUUAGAUGUGAAUCGAGUUUGCACGGAGUAUUGGGAUUCAAGGCCAUAUUCGAGGCCACAAGUUCAGUUCCCUGCAAACCCUCUUCCCAGAGAAGCCCCCAGACAAGGUCUAUUGCCUGCUGGAACAAACUCUACUCUCAAAGUUCUGCUCAAGAAAGCUAACAUGGAGGAACUAAGCUCGCUUCAGCAGGUUUUAAGCGAGUCUAACAUAGAUUUGGUGACCGAACUUGUGAAGGAAGAGAUUCAGAAUCGUAGCUGAAUUGACUCAAAAGGAGAUUGAUAUUAGUUGUGUACAUACAGAGUUGAUGAGGCUCCCUCUGCUCAUUCUUUUUUGGACACCCUUACAGAGGAAGGAUAGAAACAUAUAACUAGAACCCUGUUUCUUCUUCCGUUCUCUGGAAGCAACAAAGGAGAAAGAGAAAGAAAGAAGAUUUGUUAGGGUUCUUGAAACCAUUAGUUUUUGGUUACUAGUUGGUUUCCUUUUCAACAUCACUUACUAGUAUCGACUAUCGACAUAUAUGUUCCUCUGUUUUGAAAGUUCAAAGGACUUCGGAUUUAACGUGAUUAUAAAAAACUAGAUUUUUUAAAGAUAUUAUAUGUAUUUCUCAAUUCUAAAAAAUAAUGUAUAAUAUUGUAUUAUAUUAUUUAAAGAAUAUAAAAUAAGACCACAUAAUAUAAAUAUAUUUUUUAUAUUUUCUUUGUGAAAAUCAUUAUGUUGUUUGAUUGUUGUACUUAAUUCACAUAUUUGCAUAGAUAUUUGUGAUAGAUGAAUAACUAUAUUUUUAUUAUCAGUAAAUAAUAUAUAUUUAUUAUAUAAUAUAAGAAAAAUGGAAUUAUUUACUUUUUAACAAACUUGUCUCAUGUUGGGGACUCGGUUAUAGACAUAUCAUAUUCGAAUGAAACAUUUUUACACUUAUCAAUCUUCUUAACAAUCAAGAAACAAAUCUGAAUAUCAAAACAUUUGUUGUUUUAGAGAAAAAAAUUCAUCAUAAAAUAAGUAUUAUUUUAAAAUUUCAAAAUAAAAUUUAGUAGUUUUAAAUUUUUUUUAUUAGUUAAAACAUGGUUAUAUGUAUAGACAAUGAUGUUUUUUAUUAAAAAUAUACAAAAUUAAAUAUUUUAUUAAUUUUUGUGUGUACUUAGAAUGAGAAUUAAAUCGAAACAGAAAGAGUAAACAUUUCAUAAUAUUAUAUCCUUUGGAAAAAAUGCCGUGUGGAUAUCAAGUAGUAAUGUCCACCACCCGUGAAUAAAAAAUGUCAGCCAACAAACAAUUGAUAAACAAAGGAAACCAAUUUACUAUAAAGCCAACCACAAUUAUAUUCUCCAUGAACUUGUUUUUAAUGCUUUUUAUUUGUUUAGUUACCUUUGAUGGUUGAGAAAAACAAAAUUAUUAGAGUAAGUAAGGUGCUUAGGAAAUUGCAUCUUCAGCUUUGCUUUUUUGAAGCGUUAUUAUUGACUUAUAAUAAGACAGACCUCAUCACACAUGAAAAGUUAGGAAAAAAAUUUCAUAUCAAAGCCCAGCAAAUAAGCAAGCAAGCCACAUGUUUGUUUCCUCUCUCAUAUGAUCUUAACAAAAAAAUCUUUUAUUGAAAAGAAAAACCAAAAAGGUGAUUAAUAUUUUUAACUACCAAUUUAGUGAAGAAAAAUCAUGUCUUGUGCUUGCUUUGUUGUUGUUGUUCAUAUUGUUUUUCUUGAGUGAUUUUAAUAGAUACCAAACAUGGACCUGUAGAUUUAAUUCCCAAUUUGCCCUUUUCUUCUUCCCUUCAUCCCUUAGAUUGUUUUUUUUCUUUCCUGGGAAUAUAGAAAAGGUUGUGGUGAAUGAUUUUUAUUUUAUUUUUGCAAAUAUGUAAUAAGGACAUGUGAGGUUUCUUCAUCAAUUUCGUAAAUAAUCUGAUUCUUUGGUCGAGUUUAGGGUUAGAUCUGAUGAAAUCUGGAAUUUUUUUAAAAAAAUUACAUAUUUACUAUUUUUUGUAAAUUACUAGGGUUCCUCAGAUCUUUCAAAUCCUUGUCACUGAUUCUGAGUUUUGAUUUCAUGAAUCUGGCUGCAGUUGAUGGACCCUUGACCAUCCAAUUCAAGAAACCCUAGAUUCAACUAUGUAAGCAAUUUUUUCUCCCUUUUUAUUUUGUUUUAUGGGUCUUUUUAAAAAAUUUAAAUUGAUUGGCUUUUACAUAUAUUCCAUCAGGUGAUGUAUUAUUAGUAUUUUCAUUUGUUUCUUUUUUUAAAAAAAAUUAUUGGCUUGUGAUAUUCCUGAGACAUGAUGUUAUAUUGGUGUUGGCAGAGUAUGUGUAUGUAAUGGGGACAGAGCUAAUGAGAGUCUGUAUGAAAGAAGAGAGUGAUGAGUUACCAUCUGUUCCUCCUGGCUUUGAAUCAUAUGCUACUUUCACUUUAAAAAGACCACUCCCUAGUGCUGCUGCUGCUGAUAAAACCAUGGAAAGUUCUGUAACCGAACAAGCUAAUAAGAUGGAGGAGAUUGAAUCCGAUGAACUCAAAGCUGCUCGGUCUCUACGGCGUAGACCUUGGAUCAACUAUGACAAUGCAUCUCCUCAAAAUCUUGAUCAAGUUAGAUCUUUUUCUUUCCUUAUGCAAUUGCAGCAACUUGUGUGUGCUUUCUUUCUCAUUCAUUGCGUCGUUUGCAGAAGAAGCCUUCUCUACCAAAGGGUGUGACCCGGGGAUGUGCAGACUGUAAUGACUGCCAGAAGGUUGAUAAUCUCAAUUAAUGCUCACAACUUCAGAAAGAACUUAACACUUAGAUGCCUUACUAUUUCUUGUUUCAUAUUCACAGGUAACUGCGAGAUGGCAUCCAGAUGAAGCUCGUAGGCCCGACCUUGAAGACGCCCCUAUAUUCUACCCAACCGAAGAGGUCUUGUUUGCAUUCUUUACUUACUACUCUAUAUAGAUCCUUAUUUUUCUGACAUGAACUGUGGCAAACCUGUUUCCAGGAGUUUGAAGACACUCUGAGUUAUAUAGCUAAAAUAAGACCAAAGGCUGAAAAGUAUGGAAUCUGCCGCAUUGUUCCUCCUCCUUCCUGGAAACCCCCUUGCCCUCUGAAGGAAAAGCAACUAUGGGAAGGCUCUAAAUUCACCACACGUGUCCAAAGAGUGGAUAAGCUUCAGAACCGGAGCUCAAUGAAGAAGAUUCUUUCUAAUCAGAUGAGAAGGAAGAAAAGAAAGUGCAUGAAAACGGGAGUGGAUGCUGUCACUAACGGCAAUGCAAGCACAGAAACGAGUGGAUUUGAGACGUUUGGGUUUGAGCCUGGUCCAGGGUUCACUCUAAACGACUUCAAAAAGUAUGCUGAUGAGUUCAAGGCCCAGUACUUUAAAAAGAGUGAAACUUCUUCUGUUGGUAACUCCUGGGAGCCAGGUGUUGAGGAUGUUGAAGGUGAAUAUUGGCGGAUAGUUGAUAAAGCAACUGAAGAGAUAGAGGUGAAGUUUUUUCUUUUUAUUUGGAGGUUUUAUUGUCUAUUUAGUGCAUCUGUAUCUCUUGACUGAGGCUGUGUUGAUUCUUUGAUAUAGGUGCUAUAUGGUGCUGACCUUGAAACUGGAGUAUUUGGUAGCGGAUUCCCCAAGAUAUCAUCAUCUUCUUCUUCUUCAGACGAAAAAUAUGCAAAAUCGGGAUGGAACCUUAAUAAUUUCUCAAGGCUUCCAGGGUCCCUUCUUAAGCAUGAGGGCAGUGAUAUUUCAGGUGUCCUUGUACCUUGGUUGUAUAUUGGGAUGUGCUUUUCUUCUUUCUGCUGGGUAAGAUUUGAUCUCUAUGAGUAGCAUAUGCUUAGUUGGAGUAUCUUCCUGUUAUUCUAUUUUGUUAUUACAAUAGAUGUAUUUUUCAUUAUAGCAUAUGCUUAGUUUGUGUUAUUGUUUUUUUUACCAAAAUAGCAUGUUGAAGAUCACCACUUGUAUUCGUUAAACUACAUGCACUGGGGUGCACCAAAACUAUGGUACGGUGUUGCGGGGAAGGACGCUGUUAAACUCGAGGAGGCGAUGAGAAAGCAUUUGCCUGACCUUUUCGAAGAACAGCCUGAUUUGCUUCAUAAGCUAGUAAGUUUUUUAAAUCCAUAGUUUAAAUUGUUUCGGUAUUGGUUACAUAAAAAUAAAUCCUUUGAUACUCUCAUGUAGGUAACACAACUCUCCCCAUCAAAACUGAAAACAGCAGGAGUACCUGUGCACCGCUGCGUCCAGCACGCUGGAGAGUUUGUCUUGACGUUUCCCCGGGCGUACCACGCUGGAUUCAACUGCGGUUUCAACUGUGCUGAAGCUGUGAAUGUAGCGCCAGUUGACUGGCUACCUCAUGGGCAGAUUGCCAUUGAGUUAUACUGUCAACAGGGUAGAAAAACGUCCAUCUCACACGAUAAAUUGCUGCUUGGGGCUGCAAGAGAAGUAGUGAAAGCGGAUUGGGAGCUGAACUUACUAAAGAAAAAUACUUUAGACAACUUGAGGUGGAAACAGUUCAGCGGAAAGGAUGGAGUCUUGGCAAAAACACUCAAGGCACGGAUUGACAUUGAGCGUACGAGAAGAGAGUUUCUGUGCAGCUCUUCGCUUGCAUUGAAGAUGCAUAGUAAUUUUGAUGCUACCAACGAGAGAGAGUGCUGUAUAUGCUUCUUUGACUUGCACCUGUCCGCUGCUGGCUGCCGUUGUUCUCCAGAGAAGUAUACGUGUUUGACUCAUGUGAAGCAGCUGUGUUCUUGUCCGUGGGUUAGUAGAUAUUUUCUGUUUCGGUAUGAUAUCGAUGAACUGAAUGUUCUAGUUGAGGCUGUGGAAGGGAAACUUAGUGCUGUGUAUAGAUGGGCGCGUCAGGAUUUAGGAUUGGCUUUAAGUGCACACGUGUCAGAAAGAAAGAUGGAGAUGGAUGAAGAAGGGAAAGUGCACAAGGACCUGAGUCCACAAGCAGAUGAGCAAUUAUCACCAAGCCAGUUUAUGAAGCCUGUCAAAGAAGAAACUGUUUCUGUUCCAAAAGAUUCAGUUUGCCAACCAUCUGAAGGAGGCAUGGUCUCUGUGGCAGCAGCUGCUAAGCCCACUAGUGGUAAAAAGAAUCCACGAGGUUCAGUUUCUUCUGGCAAGCAUUUGAGAAUAAUACGAGAAAGACCAACUCACGUUUUAGCGUUAGAAGCAAUUGGUAAAAACCCUGCUCCAAAUUUCGAAAAGCAAGGAACUUCUUUGCCUGAUACAUUAGCAUUGCCUACUAAUGACCAAAGAGCAAUGGGAGGGGAUGUACCGAGCUCUGUAUCGCAUACUGAAGUUAAUGCUGUAGCUGAUGAUGAUAUAUGUAAUAGAGUGGACAUUAGCAACCAACCUAGUAGCAGUAAAUCCAGAAUCUCUGGAGGUUUGGCUAUACUGGAUGUGGUUGAUGGGACAAGGAGGAGUAAAUCAAGUACACCAUCUUGUUCGCAAGAUAAUAAUGGGACAAGAAGAAGUAACUCAGGUACACCGACUUGUUCGCAA
rnacentral:lncRNA from 1 species